rnacentral:rRNA from 1 species
UUAGGACGAACGCUGGCGGCGUGCCUAAUACAUGCAAGUCGAACGGUCUUUUCUAUGGAAGCUUGCUUCCACUGAGAAGAUAGUGGCGAACGGGUGAGUAACACGUGGGUAACCUGCCCAUAAGAGGGGGAUAACAUCCGGAAACGGGUGCUAAUACCGCAUAGUUUUCUUGAUCGCAUGAUUGAGAAAGGAAAGACGGCCUUUGUGCUGUCGCUUAUGGAUGGACCCGCGGCGUAUUAGUUAGUUGGUGAGGUAAUGGCUCACCAAGACGAUGAUACGUAGCCGACCUGAGAGGGUGAUCGGCCACAUUGGGACUGAGACACGGCCCAAACUCCUACGGGAGGCAGCAGUAGGGAAUCUUCCGCAAUGGACGAAAGUCUGACGGAGCAACGCCGCGUGAGUGAAGAAGGUUUUUCCGGAUCGUAAAACUCUGUUGUCAGAGAAGAACAAGUUGGAGAGUAACUGCUCCAGCCUUGACGGUAUCUGACCAGAAAGCCACGGCUAACUACGUGCCAGCAGCAGC